rnacentral:rRNA from 1 species
CAUUGACCUCGGAUCAGGCAGGGAUACCCGCUGAACUUAAGCAUAUCAAUAAGCGGAGGAAAAGAAACCAACAGGGAUUGCCUUAGUAACGGCGAGUGAAGCGGCAAGAGCUCAAAUUUGAAAUCUGGCCCUUUCGGGGUCCGAGUUGUAAUUUGCAGAGAGUGUUUCGGGUGAGACCACGGUCUAAGUCCAUUGGAACAUGGUGUCAUAGAGGGUGAGAAUCCCGUAUGUGACUGUGGGUGGAGCCCAAGUGAAGCCUCUUCGACGAGUCGAGUUGUUUGGGAAUGCAGCUCAAAAUGGGUGGUAAAUUUCAUCUAAAGCUAAAUACUGGCUGGAGACCGAUAGCGCACAAGUAGAGUGAUCGAAAGAUGAAAAGCACUUUGAAAAGAGAGUCAAACAGUACGUGAAAUUGUUGAAAGGGAAGCGUUUGCAACCAGACCUGCCCGUAGGUGAUCAGUCGCUGUUUUCAGUGGUGCACUCGCUCUACGAUCAGGCCAGCAUCGGUUCGGGCGGCCGGACAAAGGCCCUGGGAAUGUAGCUCUCCCCGGGGAGUUUUAUAGCCCUCGGUGCCAUGCGGCCAGCCUGGAUCGAGGACCGCGCUUCGGCUAGGAUGCUGGCGUAAUGGCUGUAAACGACCCGUCUUGAAACACGGACCAAGGAGUCUAACAUCUAUGCGAGUGUUUGGGUGUCAAACCCGUACGCGGAAUGAAAGUGAACGGAGGUGAGAACCCCUAAGGGCGCAUCAUCGACCGAUCCAAAUGUCUUCGGAUGGAUUUGAGUAUGAGCAUAGCUGUUGGGACCCGAAAGAUGAUGAACUAUACUUGAAUAGGGUGAAGCCAGAGGAAACUCUGGUGGAGGCUCGCAGCGGUUCUGACGUGCAAAUCGAUCGUCAAAUUUGGGUAUAGGGGCGAAAGACUAAUCGAAUCUAGUAGCUGGUUCCUGCC